UAAAGAACCCUAAACUUCAUCCUCUUCUCUCUCAAAUAAUCCCCUCCAAUUUUUCUAUCAAACUCAAGGAUUCAAGGCCCCUAAUUGAAGACCAAGAAUUCUCCAAAUCUUCUUCAAGUUCCUCCCUAAGGAACCGACGUCGCUCCUCGAUCUCCUCCACAUGGCUAACUCGUAUUUGUUUGAAGAUUUGCUUGUGACUUAUAACUCCGAAGUUAAGAGCGACUUGCUUCCUUGCUCUGGGCCUUUAAUAGACAGUGAAAAGCUUUACGGAGGCAAGCAAUUUGACAUCGUCUUGUAGGAUGAUGAAAGGCUAUUUCAAUGACGGAAAUAAUUGAAAACUCAAGAGGGGCGUUCUUGCAAAAGCGUUUGUCGUGCUUGUGUUGUGGGAGAUGCCGCCUUAGGGUCUUGCAUACUUCACGCCCAAAAGAACCACUCACUAGCUAGCUGGACUAGUGAGGGCCCUAUUUAAAGAUAUACUAAAAUAUUAUGCCUUUUGAAUCGAACGCAACGAGCGUCUUCCAUAUAAUAAAAAGGGGCUUAUAAGGUCAUGUCUGUACCAGUGAGUUGGAUUUGACUGAACAUUGA